CAGGCUUAACACAUGCAAGUCGAGGGGCAGCAUGGUCUUAGCUUGCUAAGGCCGAUGGCGACCGGCGCACGGGUGAGUAACACGUAUCCAACCUGCCGUCUACUCUUGGACAGCCUUCUGAAAGGAAGAUUAAUACAAGAUGGCAUCAUGAGUCCACAUGUUCACAUGAUUAAAGGUAUUCCGGUAGACGAUGGGGAUGCGUUCCAUUAGAUAGUAGGCGGGGUAACGGCCCACCUAGUCUUCGAUGGAUAGGGGUUCUGAGAGGAAGGUCCCCCACAUUGGAACUGAGACACGGUCCAAACUCCUACGGGAGGCAGCAGUGAGGAAUAUUGGUCAAUGGGCGAGAGCCUGAACCAGCCAAGUAGCGUGAAGGAUGACUGCCCUAUGGGUUGUAAACUUCUUUUAUAAAGGAAUAAAGUCGGGUAUGCAUACCCGUUUGCAUGUACUUUAUGAAUAAGGAUCGGCUAACUCCGUGCCAGCAGCCGCGGUAAUACGGAGGAUCCGAGCGUUAUCCGGAUUUAUUGGGUUUAAAGGGAGCGUAGAUGGAUGUUUAAGUCAGUUGUGAAAGUUUGCGGCUCAACCGUAAAAUUGCAGUUGAUACUGGAUAUCUUGAGUGCAGUUGAGGCAGGCGGAAUUCGUGGUGUAGCGGUGAAAUGCUUAGAUAUCACGAAGAACUCCGAUUGCGAAGGCAGCCUGCUAAGCUGCAACUGACAUUGAGGCUCGAAAGUGUGGGUAUCAAACAGGAUUAGAUACCCUGGUAAUCCACACGGUAAACGAUGAAUACUCGCUGUUUGCGAUAUACUGCAAGCGGCCAAGCGAAAGCGUUAAGUAUUCCACCUGGGGAGUACGCCGGCAACGGUGAAACUCAAAGGAAUUGACGGGGGCCCGCACAAGCGGAGGAACAUGUGGUUUAAUUCGAUGAUACGCGAGGAACCUUACCCGGGCUUAAAUUGCAGAUGAAUUACGGUGAAAGCCGUAAGCCGCAAGGCAUCUGUGAAGGUGCUGCAUGGUUGUCGUCAGCUCGUGCCGUGAGGUGUCGACUUAAGUGCCAUAACGAGCGCAACCCUUGUUGUCAGUUACUAACAGGUUCUGCUGAGGACUCUGACAAGACUGCCAUCGUAAGAUGUGAGGAAGGUGGGGAUGACGUCAAAUCAGCACGGCCCUUACGUCCGGGGCUACACACGUGUUACAAUGGGGGGUACAGAGGGCCGCUACCACGCGAGUGGAUGCCAAUCCCAAAAACCUCUCUCAGUUCGGACUGGAGUCCGCAACCCGACUCCACGAAGCUGGAUUCGCUAGUAAUCGCGCAUCAGCCACGGCGCGGUGAAUACGUUCCCGGGCCUUGUACACACCGCCCGUCAAGCCAUGGGAGCCGGGGGUACCUGAAGUGCGUAACCGCGAGGAGCGCCCUAGGGUAAAACUGGUGACUGGGGCUAAGUCAUAACAAGG
rnacentral:rRNA from 1 species